AUACGGAGGGGGCUAGCGUUGUUCGGAAUUACUGGGCGUAAAGCGCGCGUAGGCGGUUGUUCAAGUUGGGCGUGAAAGCCCGGGGCUUAACCCCGGAAUUGCGUUCAAAACUGGACAGCUAGAGUCCGGAAGAGGAGAGUGGAAUUCCCAGUGUAGAGGUGAAAUUCGUAGAUAUUGGGAAGAACACCAGUGGCGAAGGCGGCUCUCUGGUCCGGUACUGACGCUAAGGUGCGAAAGCGUGGGGAGCAAACAGGAUUAGAUACCCCGGUAGUCC
rnacentral:rRNA from 1 species